ACAAACCGGAGGAAGGUGGGGAUGACGUCAAGUCAUCCAUGGCCCUUACGGCCUGGGCUACACACGUGCUACAAUGGUCGGUACAAAGGGUUGCCAAGCCGCGAGGUGGAGCUAAUCCCAUAAACCGAUCGUAGUCCGGAUCGCAGUCUGCAACUCGACUGCGUGAAGUCGGAAUCGCUAGUAAUCGUGAAUCAGAAUGUCACGGUGAAUACGUUCCCGGGCCUU
rnacentral:rRNA from 1 species